rnacentral:rRNA from 1 species
AGUCAUAUGCUUGUCUCAAAGACUAAGCCAUGCAUGUCUAAGUAUAAGUAUUAUACAGCGAAACUGCGAAUGGCUCAUUAAAACAGUUAUAGUCUACAUGAUGGUCACAUCGUUAUAUGGAUAACUGUGGUAAUUCUAGAGCUAAUACAUGCGUAAAAACCCGACUUCUUGGAAGGGUUGUAUUUAUUAGAUACAGAACCAAUACUCUUCGGAGUUUUUUGGAUGAUUCAUGAUAAGCGAAUGGAGCACGUGGCUUGUGCCGGUGCUGUAUCAUUCGAGUUUCUGACCUAUCAGCUUUCGACGGUAGGGUAUUGGCCUACCGUGGCAUUGACGGGUGACGGAGAAUUAGGGUUCGAUUCCGGAGAGGGAGCCCGAGAAACGGCUACCACAUCUAAGGAAGGCAGCAGGCGCGCAAAUUACCCAAUCCUGAUACAGGGAGGUAGUGACAAGAAAUAACAAAGCGAGUGCUUAUCGCAUUUUGCUAUUGGAAUGAGUAGAAUUUAGAUCACUUUUCGACUAUCAAU